CUGGAUCUCCCCUGCCCCCAGCUGGUUGCCCCCAGGCCAGGCCUGGUUUUAUACCCUCCUCAGUUCCCUUUGGCACCCAGACAGGACUAGGGAGACAGUGGCCCCAGAAGCAGUUUAAAAUUUUUUUAUUAUUUUGAAAAGGGAUUACAUUCACAUGUUUCAAAAUCCAAACAAGAUAACACAGCAUAGAGAAAGAAGCCUUUCCGCCUUCCUACUCUGUAACCCUGCUUUUCGUUUCCUGUGUGUCCUUUCAGAGCUCCUUUUGCUUUCAAAAGCAAAUACAAAUACGGGCAGCUUCUGAAUGGAUGGCCAAGUGACUCUGGAGCUUCCGCGCUGUGUGAGGGCUGGGCUUUCUGUCCCUGUUCACCCUCGAACCCAGGCUUCAGCCACCGCACGGGAGAAGAUGGUUCAGACCACACCUCUACCCUGACUCAGCACACACAGCUGUACCGUCAGGGGCUGCAAACCAACAUCUCUCAGGGCCUUCCUGGAAGCUGCGGCUGGACUCCCCUUGUACUCCAGGGGAGCAUCCCUGGAGGCCCAGGUCGGGGCUCCUGGAGGGUCCCUGGGUUCUGGGGGACAGAAGAACAGGGAGGAAGAAUCCAGAUGUGGCUCACUGGGCUCUGUGGAUCUGGCACUGGAACAGCUGUCCAGGCUUUGGGGCCCCCGACACCCCUGCUGCUCUCCCUCAGGCCCCAGAUCUGCUUGGGCCCCCAGUGGGCAACCGCUCGGUGCUGGCCCACCACAGGGAAAUAUUCCGGUGGAGGUAAGCUCUGUCCUGUUCUCAGAGAGCCCUGGCCAGGCCUGGUAGAUAAAUUCCAGGCCAAGCCAUAGGAUUUGGACACUGGGGCUACAGGAAUUCAAGAAAGAAGAAUAAAGAAGCAGCCUUGAGUAUUAGUGAAUGUGGCCUGACAUUGGCAGAUGGCUUUAGCACAGCCUUCCUGGAGGAAAAGGAGGAGGGAGACUGCACUGAACGGGUUUCUGAAACUUGUGCCCUGACGCCAAGCAUACCACCACAUCACUUAUAGGAUGUGCAAGUAUAAACAAGGGAUUUUGCCGCUCUGCUCCACAGUCUCCUUGUCUAUGAAAUGGGAGUAAUAAUAGAUUCGAACCCAGAGGGAUGUUGGGAGGAUUCCAAACGUUCAUAGUGGCGCCUGGUGCAAAGCAAUUGCUCAACCAAGAUGAGCCACUGGGUUGCUGUUUCCAUCACUGU
rnacentral:lncRNA from 10 species